GUGCUCACUUUGGCAGCACAUAUACUAAAAUUGGAGUGAUACAGAGAAGAUUAGCAUGGUCCCUGCACAAGGAUGACACACAAAUUCGUGAAGUGUUCCUUAUUUUU
rnacentral:snRNA from 1 species